rnacentral:tRNA from 1 species
UUCAAGGAAGAAGCAACAGCCCCACCAUCAGCACCCAAAGCUGAUAUUCUAACUAAACUAUUCCCUG